GCCUGGGUGGCUUAGUCGGUUGAGCGUCUGACUUCGGCUCAGGUCGUGAUCUCACAGUCCGUGAGUUCGAGCCCCGCGUCAGGCU
rnacentral:tRNA from 1 species